ensembl:lncRNA
AACAAAUCAAUCUGCCUUUAGCAACUUCCCCCGGAAAUUAGUUGGCAACACUGCACUUCCAGUUUGACAAUGGCCAGGAUGUUUUAUGCGCGACAUUUCACUAGAUUAAUAACUUAAAUAUAACAGAGGCCACUUGUUAAGUCGAAACAUGCAAAUAACGAGUUCAUAGCGUAAUAUUUUCCAAACCUGCUGCUGGAGUAUCCAAAGCACUGCAUGCUAGACUCCAAAAUAGUACUUCAGAUGGCAUUUUAGACACCUUAAAAGCUCGUUUCAAACCAAAAUGGGCAACCGAAUAUCUUCUGGAAGGGUCAUUUUACGAAGCUGUUAAUAAAGGCUGGAACAUCAAUGAUUUCAGACGUAAUUUUGUCGUUAAUGAUCACGUGACCCUGAGUGGCGCGAAGCAAGGACACUGACAGACAAGACGGACAGGUUGUACUGACCGUUUGUAGAAGUAUCCUAUUGUGAUGCCACCUCCAAGUAGGAUGAUAAUGGCCAUCAUGAAGACGGCCAGAACAUAACCUGCCAAGGUAGCAAAGACAACCAAUAUACCCAUGAACUUCUCGGUUCUUGGAUGUGGUUUGGUGUUUUAGACAACUCAACACUUACCGAGAGUCCCAAGGUCUUUCUUCUUCUUGGGUCCACUCCUGACCUGCUGUCGGACUCCCUUCACGGGCUGCACCGCCGCACCCUCCACCUGCGAGGGGAAGGAGUCAGUGUUUUCGAAGGUCUCCACCAUCCUUGGGGUGAGUCCCUGAGUGGGGACCGACUCUUCUGGAGCAGUGGCUUCUGUGGAGUUUUGGUCUGUGGGGUGACAGGAUAUGAUUGUUUUUUUUCUCUCUCAAUCUGUGUGCUAAUGUGAAUCAGCUUUGCACUCCCAUCAAUUAACAAAUCAUUUAUACUAAGCAGUUUUGCUGUGGUCUGGGAGUGAGUGCUCUGAACGGAAAAUUGUUUUCUUGCGGUUGUUGAUUGGAUGGAGGCAGAUCAGAAUGUGAGCUUGCAGAUUAUAAGAAAGGUGUGAUAUAUUUACGUGGAUUAAAUGACUGGAAAAGUAAGGCAUACAUCACCAGAAGUCUGUGAAGUUUAAAUUUUGAUUUUUUUUUUUUUAAAAAUGAAACAUUUUCAUGGAUGAAUCAUUCAAAUAAUUAACAUGCAUUUAGAAAAUUGAUGGGGUGAAUUUUAACUCAUGCUGACUUCAAACAGCUAAAAAAAAAAAAAAAAUAGAUUUUUUGGUCCGAAAACAUGCUCCACCCAAGUAUGUGAAAAGAAACAGACAUUAUAAUUGCUCAUUACAUUCUGAAAUGAGUCAGAACGCAAUUCGCAAAACCCAGAAAUAAUAGUGUACUGUUAUGCUUUUCCAAAAAAAGCUUUAGCUUUUACUAGACACACUAGGCGAAUACUAGAUAAAUGAGAUAAAGUUUGGCUAUUUUGACCUAAUGAGGUGGACCUGAUAUAUUUCAGAGGCCCCAUAGAAAGAAUUCACAGCUGAGAACAUUAACAUUUACUUCUCUUGCUGGGGUCCAGGCCUUUUAAAUUUUUCAACCACCCUCUACUCUGAAAAAGCUGUUUACACACUCCAGCAGAGUUAAAGAACAUUAGUUCACAGCUCAGCUAGCCAAUCAGAAGCUGUUGCCGUGGUGUGCAUCUUUCUCACGGCCAAUCGUAAUCCCAGAGGGCGGGGCCUACACCUUCUCUUGAACAGCCGCAGAACAAGUUUCCUGUUUGUUCCUUUGUCUGUCCCAACUGAAGAAACCUCAAGGCUGAUGAGUCUAGACUCGUGUUGUUGUUCAACUUUAUCUGUCCUUGCAGCGUGUUGAGUCAAAAGAUAGUUUUGAGGAAACUGCAUCAGUGUGGAUUAAAACUGAUCAAGUAGAUUUUUUUUUUAAGUAGGAUACAUUCUGCUGUAUUGUUUUUGUUGUUAAUAAACCAAAUAAAAGUAAAUAAAAAUUAUUAAUAGCAAAAGUAAAGUUUGGUUCAGUUCCAGUUUUUAGAGUAGGCUCUGGGGAAACUGAAAUAUUUGGUGCCGACCUUUUUCACUCCCUAGAGGAUGUUUUCUUAAAGCUAUUUGCUUUUUCCCACAAAAAAAGUAGAUUGCACAUUGCACAUUUCUGCAAUGUGCAAAAACACUGCACAUUUCUGCUUUACGUAAAUAUUUUUAAAUUAGCUUCCUCCAGGUUCUUGGAAGAAACAGUGUGCAGCUAAACGAAUGAGAUGCUGGAAACAGAGUAACACGUUAGUAAGACCCAGUUGUGAAAUGCCUGAGAAAGACACGAGUUAAAUAAAUCACUUUCAUAUAUCAAAAUCCCAUUUCAUGCUGGAGUGUUCAUCUCUUUUCUUCCCCCAAAAGUGCUCGGUGAUAUUCAUUUUAUUACAAAGGUUUAAUGUGAAGAAUUUGGAAAAUUAACAUUUAUAUGCCUAUAAGCUGC